GCGGCCGCCGCCGGGCCCGGGCAGGUGCCGAGAGCUCGGCCGGGGCUGCGGCACCGGCGCCGGGAGAGGGAACGGGGGCGCCGCGAAGGGCCGGGGGGAAGGAAGGCCGGGCCGGGCCGGGCUGGUGGGGAGGGGACAAUGGGCCGAGCGGGUGUCACCCUCCCGCGCACGGCUCGGCCGGAGCCUGGGAGUGGAACUGGCUCCCAGCGCUGUCCAUCCACCUUAAUUCUCCAUAGUGGGUGCCCAUUCCCGGGAGGAGGCUGCCUCAUCUCAGGAUGGCUGAGGACUUGCCGAAAUGCCAGGCACGCAGAGGGAAGGCAGGGACGCACCAGCCGCUGCCUUUUGCCGAGCAGGAGGGCGACAAACAGGCAGGAGCCAACAUCUCCAGAGUGUGUGAGCCGAUAACGUCCUCCCCUUCUCGCAGGAUACCCCCCCGCAGCCCCGUGUCUCUGUGACACGCUGACAUGAGCACCGUGGCCGGAGUUUCUGCACCGGGGACUGGAGAAAAACUUCUGUUACUUCAUCUCCUGAGUCAACAGAAUGGUUUAGCAAAUAGAAGGCAAACCAGACACACCUAUUAGCCUUUAGGUUUAUAUAAGUUCACUGUGAUAUUUAAAAGAGGUUUCUAGUCUUGAGUUAUCGCUUGAGUUGCUUUUUAGUCUUAAACAAUGCAUACAGUCUAAAAAUUGAUUAGCUGAUUCUGUGGUUCAAAUAUUAAAGUAUCAAGCACUUUAGUCCUUGUUCCCACAGCAUCAGAGACCCCCAUCUAUGCAGCAAUAAAACAAGAACAUAUGACAAGA